rnacentral:rRNA from 1 species
AGAGUUUGAUCCUGGCUCAGAACGAACGCUGGCGGCGUGCCUAACACAUGCAAGUCGAACGUGAUCCGCCCUUCGGGGUGGUGAAAGUGGCGCACGGGUGAGUAACGCGUGGAUAAUCUGCCCGAGGAUUUGGGAUAACAUCUCGAAAGGGGUGCUAAUACCGAAUAAGCCCACGGGGUCUACGGAUCUUGCGGGAAAAGGGGGGGACCUUCGGGCCUCCUGUCCUUGGAUGAGUCUGCGUACCAUUAGCUAGUUGGUGGGGUAAUGGCCUACCAAGGCGACGAUGGUUAGCUGGUCUGAGAGGAUGAUCAGCCACACUGGAACUGAGACACGGUCCAGACUCCUACGGGAGGCAGCAGUGGGGAAUUUUGCGCAAUGGGGGAAACCCUGACGCAGCAACGCCGCGUGGGUGAUGAAGGCCUUCGGGUCGUAAAGCUCUGUCUGGAGGGAAGAAAUGAUUGGGAGCUAAUACCUCUUGAUCUUGACGGUACCUCUGAAGGAAGCACCGGCUAACUCCGUGCCAGCAGCCGCGGUAAUACGGAGGGUGCAAGCGUUGUUCGGAAUUAUUGGGCGUAAAGCGCGUGUAGGCGGUCUUUUAAGUCUGAUGUGAAAGCCCCGGGCUCAACCUGGGAAGUGCAUUGGAAACUGGGAGGCUUGAGUACGGGAGAGGAGAGUGGAAUUCCUAGUGUAGGAGUGAAAUCCGUAGAUAUUAGGAGGAACACCGGUGGCGAAGGCGGCUCUCUGGACCGAUACUGACGCUGAGACGCGAAAGCGUGGGUAGCAAACAGGAUUAGAUACC